rnacentral:rRNA from 1 species
UACAGAGGUCUCAAGCGUUGUUCGGAUUCAUUGGCGUAAAGGGUGCGUAGGCGGCGCGGUAAGUCGGGUGUGAAAUCUCGGAGCUUAACUCCGAAACUGCAUUCGAUACUGCCGUGCUUGAGGACUGGAGAGGAGACUGGAAUUUACGGUGUAGCGGUGAAAUGCGUAGAUAUCGUAAGGAAGACCAGUGGCGAAGGCGGGUCUCUGGACAGUUCCUGACGCUGAGGCACGAAGGUCAGGGGAGCAAAACGGG